rnacentral:tRNA from 1 species
UCGGAGUGUAGCUCAGGUGGCAGAGCACGUGCCUUGGGAGCACGGGGUCGCAGGUUCAAGUCCUGCCACUCCGACUUU